rnacentral:lncRNA from 1 species
ACACAUUCAGAAGGAGGAAAACACCUUUCCACUUAUGGAAUUUACUUACAUAUUCAGUUUCUUGCUUGGAUUCCGAAGAGAAAUUCAGUGUAUCUGUACUCUGUGAAUCAUAUUCCACUUUAUAGCGCUGUGUAUUUUUGGCUUGCUCUUUCCUGAUGAUAUCUAUUCUGAUGUGCUGUGGAGGCAAAUUUGAAUCUGGCACUCUGUGCAAGCUUGGGAUGGCCUGAUUUUCUAAGCUACUGGUACUCCUGUCUUCUUCUGAAUCACUGGAAUUUCCUGCAGCGUGCGGUCCCGGCAGCAGGAAGGCCCGCAGCUUGUCUCCCGCCGUGGCGUUGGUGCAGAAACCGCGGCCCUCCAGCAGAGCCUGCAGCGGCCGUGCCUCCUCUUGCCGCGGCUGGCAGUUG